CGAGUAUGGUGAUGAAGAUCUUAAAUCUACCGAUACAUUUCAUGACUGGAUAAAAAUCCUCCUACUCAUUCUGA